rnacentral:lncRNA from 1 species
GGGUGUUCUUGGUAACCGUUAACUCUGUCUUUCUCAGCUGCAAGCCCUGAGUCUCCAGUAGCUGAAUUCACCUGACUUUUCAACAGGCCAAAUCUCUGAACCUUGAGUACAGGGACAGCUCCUCCUCCCUCCUCCCAGCUCUCCCCAUGUGUGUGAUGGUGUAUUUAAUGUGUUUUUUUAAUGCGACAUUAAAAGAUUCUCCACGUCUUGCUCAACC